rnacentral:rRNA from 1 species
UACGUAGGGGGCGAGCGUUGUCCGGAAUUAUUGGGCGUAAAGAGCUCGUAGGCGGUGUGUCGCGUCGGCCGUGAAAACCUGGGGCUCAACUCUGGGCGUGCGGUCGAUACGGGCAUCACUUGAGUUCGGCAGGGGAGACUGGAAUUCCUGGUGUAGCGGUGAAAUGCGCAGAUAUCAGGAGGAACACCGGUGGCGAAGGCGGGUCUCUGGGCCGAUACUGACGCUGAGGAGCGAAAGCAUGGGUAGCGAACAGG